rnacentral:rRNA from 1 species
UACGUAGGGACCGAGCGUUGUCCGGAUUCAUUGGGCGUAAAGAGCUCGUAGGCGGCCACUCAAGUCGAAUGUGAAACCUCGAGGCUUAACCUCGAGCCUGCAUUCGAUACUGGGCGGCUAGAGUCUGGUAGGGGGAUCUGGAAUUCCUGGUGUAGCGGUGGAAUGCGCAGAGUAUCAGGAGGAACACCGGUGGCGAAGGCGGGAUCCUGGGCCAGUACUGACGCUGAGAAGCGAAAGCAUGGGGAGCGAACAGG